rnacentral:lncRNA from 14 species
UACAGCUAGAUUCCUUCCUGCUUGCAUUGACUCUCCGCUCUGAACAGCAGGACAUCUAUCCACACUAAUAUAAGAAAAACAAGAACAAGUUUUCACUGAAAGAGUCUCCUCUCCUAAUUCAUUCAGACUUUCUGGAAGAAGGUAAAGAACAAUCCUGACCAGGACUAUUUUUCCAAUGUAAAUUUCCAUGGCAGCUUUCCACCUGCAGGAUGUGGACCUUGCACUUGGAGCAGGAGUUGCUGGAGGAGCUGGCCUGUUAGACCAUCUCAUACAUAGGAGAGAUCAGAAGCAGGGUCCAAGGUGGUGGAUCUCACAAACACAGGCACCAAGGCCCUACAGCUUUUUAUAUUUGGAAUAGUUCAGUCCCCUACACCCCACAUUCCCAAAAGGCUUCAGCCCUUAAAGUUUCAUCAUGUGUCAAGCUUUACAUGAACCCUGCUAAAGCCAGGCAAUGGAGCCCAAACUGAUUUUCUGGCCAAAAUUGCAACAGAAAGACACAUGGAUAUUUCGUAAUUGCCAAAAGCAUGUGCUACUUUCAACUUCUGUGCUGCAUAUAAAAAUCCACUGAAAUACCUACUGUGGUAUCAGAUAGGAAAACUAACUUUCUGCAUGUUUCUUAUGACAAAAUAUUUCCAGUUUGGAAAUGUCAGUUUUAGGUUGAUUUUGUUCUUCAAAUUCCUGGUCUAUUUUAAGCCUCUCCUUUACUUAUGCUGCACUGUGUCAUUUAGGAAUCUGUGAAACCUCCAAGGGUGUUUCAGCCCUUUUAUAUUCUUACCACAGUACAUAUCAGAUGUGCUCCUGCAAAGGAUUCCUCACUGCUUUUAUCAGACCACAGCAAAAUCUCAAGAUAAUAAUUCUCCAUACCAUGAAGUGGAGGAGAUGUGUAAGUAUUUAAAUAUUGGUGUCUACAAAACUGUUGUUACAAGGAAAAGGAAAACCUCUGGGAAAAUUGGCAUAUGAAUAAUUUCAUUGAUACCAAUAGAGCAAAGCUGUAUUUACAAUAUCAUAACUUAGAAAUAAAUUCUCC